AGACGUCAACCAGGUUGAUUGAAAGACUGUGCUCCCCAAAUUCUAUCAGCAUGUUAGGUGUGCAACUAGGGGAGACAAUAUACUGGACAAGGUGUACUCGAACAUCAAGAUGGGCUUCAGGGUGAAGCCUCUACCCCACCAUGGCCAGUUAGAUCACCUGUCCCUGCUUGUGAGGCCAGCAUACAUCCUCCUCAGGAAAAGUGCUCCUAUCACAUCUGGAACUAUCAUAACCUGGCCCGA